UACGGAGGGUGCGAGCGUGUUCGGAUCCACUGGGCGUAAAGGGCGCGUAGGCGGCCUGAUAAGUAGGGGGGUGAAAAUCCUGCGGCUUAACCGCAGGGCUGCCUUCUAAACUGUCAGGCUCGAGCACAGUAGAGGCAGGUGGAAUUCCCGGUGUAGCGGUGGAAUGCGUAGAGAUCGGGAAGAACAUCAGUGGCGAAGGCGGCCUGCUGGGCUGUUGCUGACGCUGAGGCGCGACAGCGUGGGGGAGCAAACAGG
rnacentral:rRNA from 1 species